AGUGAACGCUGGCGGUAGGCCUAACACAUGCAAGUCGAACGGCAGCACAGUAAGAGCUUGCUCUUACGGGUGGCGAGUGGCGGACGGGUGAGGAAUACAUCGGAAUCUACUUUUUCGUGGGGGAUAACGUAGGGAAACUUACGCUAAUACCGCAUACGACCUACGGGUGAAAGCAGGGGAUCUUCGGACCUUGCGCGAUUGAAUGAGCCGAUGUCGGAUUAGCUAGUUGGCGGGGUAAAGGCCCACCAAGGCGACGAUCCGUAGCUGGUCUGAGAGGAUGGUCAGCCACCCUGGAACUGAGACACGGUCCAGACUCCUACGGGAGGCAGCAGUGGGGAAUAUUGGACAAUGGGCGCAAGCCUGAUCCAGCCAUACCGCGUGGGUGAAGAAGGCGUUCGGGUUGUAAAGCCCUUUUGUUGGGAAAGAAAAGCAGCAGGUUAAUACCCCGCUGUUCUGACGGUACCCAAAGAAUAAGCACCGGCUAACUUCGUG
rnacentral:rRNA from 1 species